rnacentral:rRNA from 1 species
UUUACCGAAAAAGUUUGAUUUUUAAUUCAGUUGAUAAGUUUGUGGUUGUCGAGUAGAGUAAAAAAUUGAUUUAAUGUUGUGACAAAUAAGUCGUUUGCUUUUAUAUCUGUUUUUUGUCUAAGUUUUCUAUUUAUUUAUCAGGCGAAGAGGUCUGGUAAAUGUGUAUAUAUUUAAUGUUUAGUUUGAUUAAUAGGGUUAAAAAUACCCAAUUAUUAAAGUUUGUUAUAAUUUGGUUUAUUUUUAGUUAUAUAUUACAUUUGGAGGACAAUUAUAUUUAAUAGAUUGUUAUAUUUAUGAGACAAUGAGUAAUCAAAAAAAUUUUAUUGUUUCUCAAGCAUAUUCCGUCUGUUUAUUAAAAACAUUUCUAUAUGAAAUUUUAUAUAGUAGGGCCUGCUCAAUGUUUAGUUAUUAAUAGCCGCAGUAUUUUGACUGUGCGAAGGUAGCAUAAUUAAUUGCCUUUUAAUUGGAGGCUUGUUUGAAUGGUUUGACGUGAUUAUUGUUAACAUUAUUUUUGUUAGUGAAAUUAAUUAUGAGGGCACAGAAUCCUCUUUAGUUAAUUAGACGGAAAGACCCCGGGAUCUUUUAAUUUUGCCUGGGGCAGGUUAUAAUAUUUCAAUUUUUAUAUUUUGACCCUAUUUUAGGUUAAUUGAUGUAAGUUACCCCGGGGAUAACAGUGUAAUAAUUUAUUAGAGAUCAUAUCGGUUAAGUUGUUUGCCACCUCGAUGUUGACUUAAGUAUAUAAUAGGGCGCAGUAGUUUUAUUAUGUGGUCUGUUCGACCUUAGUUACUUCCAUGAGUUGAGUUAAGACCGGCGUGAGCCAGGUCGGUUCUUAUCUAUU